rnacentral:lncRNA from 10 species
GUGAAAAGGAAUCUCUCUCAUUUAUGUGGCUGAAUGGUAUGGAUGAAGCCACCUCAGCAAGCACAGCUGGCAGCUAGCCACCUGACUCCUGAGCUUUAACAGCACAAAGAAGAGGUCACAGGAGCACACAGCAAGAAGGCAGCCAUCUGCAACCCUGUGGAGGAGACCUCCCCAGACAUUAACCAUGCUGGCACCUUGAUCUUGGACUUCUAGUCUCUGGGACUGUGAGAAAAUACAUUUCGGUUGUCUCAGCCACUCAGUCUGAAGAAUUUUGUUAUGUCAGCUCGAGCAGAUUGAUGCGGCUAUUGAGAUACAGCGGUUUCUAUUCUGUUUAUGUUUCCUUGUUUUGUUUCUGUUGUUGUUGUUGUUGUUUUGUCCUGGGCAUGUAGACCAAAGCCAAUAGGCAAGGUCACUUCAUUACUAGGAACCAAGUCUAAUCAUUGCACUAGAAAAUACUUAACUUUAUGCAUCCAGCUUUUUAGAAAAUUGUAUUUCAACUCAUUACAGGAUUUUCAUAGUGUAUCACAAGAUUUAUGUUGAGAGGAAAAGAGCCCUAAAGUUUCAAGAUAAUUGAAUUCUGGAAAAUGAGAAAAGUAGUCAAUUUUUAUAAAUUAGUAGGUAGCAUCUAUUUUUUCUUUUUUUGGUACUAAAAUUAUUGCAUUUUUAUUUUUACCUUAUUUUGUACCAAGAUGGGUCUAAAUGUCAUGGUGACUCAUUUCAAAACUUGCAUUUUCAUUUGUGAUUAAUCCCACCUACACUGAAAAGUUUUUGCUUGAUUUUUCUACUGAGGUGUGGGUUCCAAGCCUCGGUAUCCUAUGGAUGUACAAUUGUCCAAUGUAAGUUGUCAACUGUUAUAUUUGGGAGUGAAAGUAGAAACUACAGGGAUCAAAAAUGAGUUGGCAAGUUUUCUUUUCCUGAAGGAUGAAUCACUGGAGAAGUGCCAGUGAAUAGAAAAAAAAAAUUUCACCAAAAGAAAUAAUAACCAACAAGCCAUGUUCUACUGUCUUAAAACAAAGAAAAGCCAUUUAUCUCAGGGCACAUAUUGAUGCUGAAAAUGAUUCAACUUCACCACAUCAUAAGCGGAACCGUCAGAAGCAUAUUCCUGGAAACCAAAGCCUCUUGGGAGAAAGUUCAAGGUCAGAGUUUUUAAACUUUAGACAUAGACAUAUGUUUUAAUAGAAGACGGUCAAAUAUCACCCACCUCUCUCUCACUUUCUUUAUAUAUACUAAAUAACUAAAAUAAUACAAAAAAGGAUCUCUAAAACUUCCAUAUUGAAGAUAUAAUACAUAUUCGCAUCUUUAAAAUGGACUAUGAUCACACUGGUAGCAUCAGUUUGAAAGUGAAAAAUGUAACAAUAUGGCAGAUAAUUUCCCCCAAGAGAGUUGUAAACAUUGUUGAGAGCUCUCGUUGUUUUUAACAUGUUAGAAAUAAAUAAUGAGGAAAGAUCACUGGAAGAGUGAUUCAGAUUAUGCAAAAGUCAAUAACCUCUAUAUGCCUCAGGUCCUUCAUUUGGAAAAUGUACAGAAUAAAAUAUAUGUCAUAGAGAAGCAACGAGGUUUGAAUGAGGCAAUGGACACAGGGUAAUUGCCAUAUUAUAUAUAGUUGCUAAAUAAAUCGUAGCUAUUCAGGUGCAUUUUCCUAACUAUUAUCAAAAUCUUUAUCUUCCACAAGAUGAAUUAUUAUUAAAACAAAGUUUUCUAGAGAAGAGGGAAGAGGUCACAAUGGCCGUGGACUAUGUGGAAUAGGAGAAGCUGAAAAGAGCCAUGCAGUUCAAUUAUCCUGAUUCUUCAGUUUCCAUCUGUAUGAAACAGGCCACGCAGCAGAGACAUAGACACAUCAGAAUUCCCAUCUGCACUGCAAUAAACACUACUUAGGAGAAUCAGUCUCAGCUGGACCAAACCUCUCAGUCCCACUCGAUGUCAUCUGUGCCAAGCCAAGACUCACCGGGACAUCAGUCCAGCCUCCUCCAAGACCCACUAUGGCAGCAGUUCUUCAUCUGUGGCUCUACAGGCAAGGAUCACAUGUUGUGACUCUGCCAGGUAGAGGUUGUGCUUCUGUGGAUCUGUCAGGUGGCCUUGCCCCCAAGGCUUUGCUGGGUGUUGGUCCUACUCUUUGAAACUGAGGUGGAGACACCCCUGCACCCCCCACCCCCAGGCACUCUGGAUGUGCAGUGGAAGUGGCAGUCCUAAGAUAUCGGCAUUAUGUGCAGGGUCCUUCUUCCCUUAUCUUGAAGAAAGUUGUAUGUUUGUAGGUGAAUAGCCCUUAUGAUCCAUUCCCGUCGGGUCUUCCAACAGUCUUUCUCCAUUUUGUC